UGCUAAUACCGGAUAACAACACUAGACGCAUGUCUAGNGUUUAAAAGAUGGUUCUGCUAUCACUCUUGGAUGGACCUGCGGUGCAUUAGCUAGUUGGUAAGGUAACGGCUUACCAAGGCAAUGAUGCAUAGCCGAGUUGAGAGACUGAUCGGCCACAUUGGGACUGAGACACGGUCCAAACUCCUACGGGAGGCAGCAGAC
rnacentral:rRNA from 1 species